rnacentral:pre_miRNA from 1 species
UAUUUCCUUCAUCCCAAAAUGAAAAAAUCUAGUACAUUAUGUGUUUGACAUAUCCUGUACUAGAUUUGUUUAUUUUGGGACGGAGGGAGUAUC